GUUUCCUAAACUUCGUUAUAUUAUAAGAGAUAGACUGAUCUGUGUUUCAGAAUUCAGGGGCAGGGGGUGGAUAAGGGUUGGCCUGGUUUUAUCAUACGGCUGCUGUUAAUCGUUGAAUGGCUUGGAAAAGUUCUGCGAAUUCAGCCCUGGUCAAAUGAUCCGUGGCUUCAGGUUGCUCAAUACGCUCUAUAGAUGAUUU
rnacentral:lncRNA from 1 species